rnacentral:misc_RNA from 1 species
UUUCCGUAGGUGAACCUGCGGAAGGAUCAUUAUUGAAUAAACUUGGUUGGGUUGCUGCUGGCUCUCAGGAGCAUGUGCACACUCAUUCCAUUUCAACCACCUGUGCACACACUGUAGGCCUGAAUGGAACUUUUCGAGGAAACUCGGUUUGAGGACUGCUGUGAAAAUCAGCUGUUCUUGCAUUCCGGGUCUAUGUUUUUAACAUAUACUCUGUAACAAGUCAUGGAAUGUUAAUCAUUGGCCUUCUGUGCCCUUUAAAAAAUAUAAUACAACUUUCAACAACGGAUCUCUUGGCUCUC